rnacentral:rRNA from 1 species
AGCGAACGCUGGCGGCAGGCUUAACACAUGCAAGUCGAACGAUCCUUCGGGAUAGUGGCGGACGGGUGAGUAACACGUGGGAACGUACCUUUUGGUUCGGAACAACCCAGGGAAACUUGGGCUAAUACCGGAUAAGCCCUUACGGGGAAAGAUUUAUCGCCGAAAGAUCGGCCCGCGUCUGAUUAGCUAGUUGGUGAGGUAACGGCUCACCAAGGCGACGAUCAGUAGCUGGUCUGAGAGGAUGAUCAGCCACAUUGGGACUGAGACACGGCCCAAACUCCUACGGGAGGCAGCAGUGGGGAAUAUUGGACAAUGGGGGCAACCCUGAUCCAGCCAUGCCGCGUGCGGGAAGAAGGCCU